UACGGAGGGGGCUAGCGUUGUUCGGAAUUACUGGGCGUAAAGCGCGCGUAGGCGGACCUGCAAGUCGGGGGUGAAAGCCCGAGGCUCAACCUCGGAACUGCCUUCGAUACUGCGGGUCUCGAGUCCGGGAGAGGUGAGUGGAAUUCCUAGUGUAGAGGUGAAAUUCGUAGAUAUUAGGAAGAACACCAGUGCGAAGGCGGCUCACUGGCCCGGUACUGACGCUGAGGCGCGAAAGCGUGGGGA
rnacentral:rRNA from 1 species